rnacentral:rRNA from 1 species
AUUGAACGCUGGCGGCAGGCCUAACACAUGCAAGUCGAGCGGAGGAAGGGAGCGUGCUCUUGGAUGCAGCGGCGGACGGGUGUGUAAUGCCGAGGAAUCUGCCUUGCAUGGGCGGGUAAUGUCCGGAAACGGGCGCUACUACCGCAUGCGACCUGAGGCGGAAACUGGGGGAUCCGCGCAUCUCACGCUAGCAGAUGAUCCUAGGUCGUAUUAGCUAGUUGGUGGGGUGAAGGCCUACCAAAGGAAGGAUCCAUAACUCGUCUGAGAUGAUGAUCGGUCACCCUGGAAGUGAGACACGCUCCAGACUCCUACGGGAGGCAGCAGUGGGGACUAUUGGACAAUGGGCGCAAGCCUUAUCGAGCCAUGCCGCGUGUGUGAAGAAGGUCUUCGGAUUGUAAAGCACUUUAAGUUGGGAGGAAGGGAAGUCUGUUAAUACCUUGCUGUUUUGACGUUACCCACAGAAUAAGCACCGGCUAACUUCGUG